AUAUUUCAACAGCACAUAAACUGAUAUUGGAAUGAUAGAGAGAGGUUAGCAUGGCUCCUGAUCAAGGAGUGUUUGUGAAGUUUGUGAAGUGUUCCAUGGUUUU
rnacentral:snRNA from 1 species